UCUCUCUUGUCCUUUUCAUUAGUCACUGCCACUCUUCUGUUUUGCUUGUUUCAUUUUCCCUCCAGGCAAACGUCCUGUGUAAGGCAGUAGAAAAAAGGGUGGGAAACUAAUUAAUGUGUCAAGAAGAACUAGAAGAUACAGGUGGCUUUCAACAGAACGGCUGAUUUCCAAGCAUUAUAGAGGAAGAUGAAAUUUCAUAUCCACGAAAACAAGACAGCAACUGCUCUGGGAGGGGGUUGAGGAAUAAAUCUUCAGGCAAAAAUUCUAUCUGAAACAGUGAGAAAAAAGAGCAAGGCUGUGCUCGGUUGAUACCAAUGGACAUGUCUGCUGUUGUCAGGCCACCUUUAUUUUGGGUGUCCUUUUUGGUGAUUAUUUUCCAGAACAGCUUCAAACCAUCCUGUGAUCAGAGAAGAGAUUUCCCAGAGAUAUUCUUUCCCUUUAAAUUUUGUAGCUCUUAAAGAAAGCUCUAAAGAUUGUCAACACACUUUUCUUUAUAAACAUUAACAGGAGAAAGCAAAUGCAACCGUAUUAAAUGGUUUAAAUGUG